ensembl:lncRNA
UGGCUCAGGAUUAGUGUGUGCUUUUCCAACUACUGUGAAUUCAUAUGUGCAGCUUCCCUGCUGUGUUUAGAUCAUAUGGUUUCCUUGUUAUCAUACAUUGCCUCUGGCUCUUAUACUCUUUUUGCCCCUCUUCCACAUGAAGCCCAAACCCUGGGAGGAGUUAGUAAAGCAUAUAUACUCUGAGACUUCUACAAUCUCUUAAUCCCUGCAGUUUGAACAAUUACGAGCCUCUGUGUUAAUUACAUUUACUGCAAAUAGAAGUUUUCAGAUAGGGGUUGUGAGAUGCAUUGGUCUAUGAGAAUAUUGAUAAAUCAUUGGAAGUAUAGGCAUUUAGCCAAAGAUUAGUAAUUUGUUCCCCUUUAGGGCAGAUGACCUGUCUAUCUAUAGGUUCUCUGACUGCUAAUGGUACCAGGCAUGGGUUUCAUCUUGUGACCAGAAUGUGAUUGGUUUCUUCCAUGAGGCUCAGACCUCUCUACUGCAUCUCUAUACCAUGUCUUACAAAACUAGUCUCCUCACAGGGAUCAGACAUGGGUGUGACAGAUGCUUACAUUUCUCCUCCAAUAGCUUCCAUAGCACCUCCUGUCACUUUCUAAACUAACCAGAACCUGUGUAGCUUCUGAUUCUGUAUCAGAUUGAUUUCUCCAGUCUAUGGUUCAAGUAUCUGGUUAACAUCAAGUUCUACAUGGUAACCAAGACCAAUGGCAACAGCUUCUUCCGUUAGGAGGAGGGGUCACUGAAACCUUGGCUGGCGUCUCUACUUACCACUCUCAUUUAGACAAGUUUCACUUUGUGGGUAAUUCUUAGACAAGAUAUUUAAUCCUAAUCUUUUCUUUUCUGAUUCAUACUGUGCUUGUUUUGUUUGUUUUUACAGCUCUAUAAUAUGACCUGAAGCUUUGCAUAUGGGCUCUUGGGUGAUGGCAAGGUGGAACUUUCAUCUGUUCUGUGUCAUGGAAACAAGCAUGCUUAUAAUGAUGGUAUCGGAUGUACAUUUGGACCCGUCUGCUAGGAAUAACCUUCAGCUUGAUGGUCUGACUACAUACAAAUACCGUUGAACAAAUCUAUGAGCAACGAGCAGAGAGCCCUACAGAGAAACUGGCUCAGGCUACAGAAAUUAAUUGAAUGAGCUUUCAUUUUUGUCUCUUUUGGCCACUAAAUAAUUACUGUAAGUCAAUAUAAAUCCAAGUCAAUAAGUAGCUACAUAAACUUUUACUGCUAUACCUGAACUUGCCAAAUUUACAUGAGAAAAUAAAUUAUCCUAUGAGGGAAAGACAUUAUGCUAGGUCAUAACAGCAUGCUUACAUUUACUAUUUAAAAUGUAUUCUGGUUACUUCAUUUUUAAAUGUUUGUGUGUAUUAGAAUAAAAUGCCAUUUCCAAUUGAAAAGAAC